rnacentral:rRNA from 1 species
AGAAUCAACGCUGGCGGCGUGCCUAACACAUGCAAGUCGAACGAGAAAGUGGAGCAAUCCAUGAGUAAAGUGGCGCACGGGUGAGUAACACGUGACUAACCUACCCUUGAUGGGGGAUAACCUAGAGAAAUCUGGGCUAAUACCGCAUAAUACCUUCGGGUCAAAGGAGCAAUUCGCUUAAGGAGGGGGUCGCGGCCGAUUAGUUAGUUGGCGGGGUAAUGGCCCACCAAGACUGUGAUCGGUA